GUUGGCUCAGGAUGAACGCUAGCUACAGGCUUAACACAUGCAAGUCGAGGGGCAUCAGUUUGGUUUGCUUGCAAACCAAAGCUGGCGACCGGCGCACGGGUGAGUAACACGUAUCCAACCUGCCUCAUACUCGGGGAUAGCCUUUCGAAAGAAAGAUUAAUAUCCGAUAGCAUAUAUUUCCCGCAUGGGUUUUAUAUUAAAGAAAUUCGGUAUGAGAUGGGGAUGCGUUCCAUUAGUUUGUUGGCGGGG
rnacentral:rRNA from 1 species